ACUUGUCAAAUAUAUUACAAAUUAUCCAUAUUAAAAAUACUCAAACUACUAAACCCAAUUUAUGACUUGUGAAACCAAACCAUAUGCAUCAUUUACAUGACAAAUACACCAAUUACAAGUGUUCUAACCAUCUUUAUUUCAAGAGGCAUAGAAUCAAGUUUGGUAUUAACUUCCACCUUGAACACUCCAUCUAAACUCUGGUACUUGUCAAUCUCUCGACCUUGGUAGAUUUCACUCUAUCUUCCUUGAUCUAAUACAUAUGUUGAAAGUGCUUCAUCAUUUGCAAGAAGAUGGAAAUUGUAUGAAGACAAAUGUGAAUAGAAUAUGAAGAGUGAUGGUGGUGGUUGACUCGAAGGUCAACACUAAUGGUGGUUGUGGUUAAGUUUGAUGAAGGGAGCGAAAAUGAGAGAAAAUAUACCUGAAAGAGAAAGAAGAAAAGGUAAGUGAAUGAGAGAAAAAAUACAAUUUUUUUCAUUUAAAGCUUCAUUUUUUUUGUAACAAUUUAAUGUCAUGUUGGUUUUUGCUUAUUCAUCACACUACGUAGGAGAGAGUAACACAUUACUUAGUCACAUAAAAGUCACCCACUUAGGAGUGAUAAUAAAAAAAAAAGUUAAUAUUAAUGACAAAAAUGACAUACUUUAGCUAAGUCAUAGAUUGAUCAAG
rnacentral:lncRNA from 1 species